CUCGCAGGCCGCAGGCGGGGCCGGACCUGUCCUCAAGCCAGUCUUCCCGGGUACCCUGCGUGUGCCUCCGUCUACGGAGGCUGCCUCACUAAACUCUGAGACUAUGUCUUGGUGGUUAGCUCCCAGACUGAAAACAGCGGAAAGAGAAGUGCUCCAGUACACAUGUGAAUGUAAGUUCCACGAGAGCAGAGACUGUAUCUUGUUUAUCCAUGCAUCUCCAGCUCCGAGCACAAGGAAUGCUCACACAUGACCUGUGGUCCAAAAUCAUACCAGGAAGGUAUGAGCUCCAUUUGAUCCAUAAGGAAACAGAGGCUCAAAAAGCUUAAGUCAUCUGCCCAAGGUCACAGAGCUAGAAGUGGAGGAGCUGGGAUUCAAACCCGAGUCCUGCUUCAGCUUCAGAGAUGAAGAGUCAGUUAAAGAAUAAAUAGAAAGAAAGGAUAUGACAAGUUUGUAAGUACUCUCUAGUUUUUCAUCUUUAAAAAAUGUAGGUGUAAAUUUGUAAUUUUUUGGUUUUGCACGGUAGAGGACUUCCCUUAAGCAGCAGAUGAACGAGGAAGGAAAAAUUCAGGUUAAUUCAAAAUCAAAACAGGCAAAGCAAUCCUGACAAACCAUUUUUUUAGUAAAACACGGUAGUAAAAUUGAAAACAAAACCCCCCAAGCCACCACCAGUGCUGCUGAGAUUGUUGUAAAACUGGUUUCUGCCUCUUGGCAAGCGGCCUGUAUUUUUAGUUCACACUAUGUGUUAGUUUCUAAUUAUUGUGUAAUGAGCUGAUAAAUGCCACCGUCCUGUACUAGACUGGAAGCGACAGGAGGGCAGGGUCUGUCUAUCUUGCUCAUCUUAUGCUCCUAGAGCUCAGUGCCUAGCGCGAGUAGAUACUCAAUUUGUAACUGUUGCAUAAAUGGAUAUUGCUGUUGCCAUGAUUAACUUUUUGGAAGAGAAUCAGGCAAUAUAUAGUAAGAGCUAUAAGAUAAAAUAUUAUUUAACUAGUAAUCUACUCCUGUGAGGAAAAAAUAUUCAACAAAAGCCAAAAAAAAAAAAAAGAAGAAAGAAAGAAAGAAAAGACAUGAAGAUAUUCAUUCCUUAAAGAAGAUGUGGUACAUAUAUACGACGGAAUAUUACUCAGCCAUAAAAACGAACGAAAUUGGGUCAUUUGUAGUGACGUGGAUGGACCUGGAGACUGUCAUAUAGAGUGAAGUAAGUCAGAAAGAGAAAAACAAAUAUCGUAUAUUAACGCAUAUAUGUGGAAUCUAGAAAAAUGGUACAGAUGAACUGGUUUGCAAGGCAGAAAUAGAGACACAGAUGUAGAGAACAAACGUAUGGACACC